GAUGAAGAACGUAGCGAAAUGCGAUACGUAAUGUGAAUUGCAGAAUUCAGUGAAUCAUCGAGUCUUUGAACGCACAUUGCGCCCCCUGGUAUUCCGGGGGGCAUGCCUGUCCGAGCGUCAUUGCUGCCCUCAAGCACGGCUUGUGUGUUGGGCCCCGUCCCCUCCCCCGGGGACGGGCCCGAAAGGCAGCGGCGGCACCGCGUCCGAUCCUCGAGCGUAUGGGGCUUUGUCACCCGCUCUGUAGGCCCGGCCGGCGCCAGCCGACACCCAACUUUUAUUUCUAAGGUUGACCUCGGAUCAGGUAGGGAUACCCGCUGAACUUAAGCAUAUCAAUAAGCGGAGGA
rnacentral:misc_RNA from 1 species